rnacentral:rRNA from 1 species
ACUCAGGUGUUGUUGGGUAGGGGAGCGUUCUGUAAGCCUGUGAAGGUGGCCUGUGAGGGUUGCUGGAGGUAUCAGAAGUGCGAAUGCUGACAUAAGUAACGAUAAAGCGGGUGAAAAGCCCGCUCGCCGGAAGACCAAGGGUUCCUGUCCAACGUUAAUCGGGGCAGGGUGAGUCGACCCCUAAGGCGAGGCCGAAAGGCGUAGUCGAUGGGAAACGGGUUAAUAUUCCCGUACUUGGUGUUACUGCGAAGGGGGGACGGAGAAGGCUAUGUUGGCCGGGCGACGGUUGUCCCGGUUUAAGCGUGUAGGUGUGUGUUCCAGGUAAAUCCGGUUCACUUUAACACUGAGGCGUGACGACGAGGCACUACGGUGCUGAAGCAACAAAUGCCCUGCUUCCAGGAAAAGCCUCUAAGCAUCAGGUAACAUCAAAUCGUACCCCAAACCGACACAGGUGGUCAGGUAGAGAAUACCAAGGCGCUUGAGAGAACUCGGGUGAAGGAACUAGGCAAAAUGGUGCCGUAACUUCGGGAGAAGGCACGCUGACACGUAGGUGAAGUGAUUUACUCAUGGAGCUGAAGUCAGUCGAAGAUACCAGCUGGCUGCAACUGUUUAUUAAAAACACAGCACUGUGCAAACACGAAAGUGGACGUAUACGGUGUGACGCCUGCCCGGUGCCGGAAGGUUAAUUGAUGGGGUCAGCGCAAGCGAAGCUCCUGAUCGAAGCCCCGGUAAACGGCGGCCGUAACUAUAACGGUCCUAAGGUAGCGAAAUUCCUUGUCGGGUAAGUUCCGACCUGCACGAAUGGCGUAAUGAUGGCCAGGCUGUCUCCACCCGAGACUCAGUGAAAUUGAACUCGCUGUGAAGAUGCAGUGUACCCGCGGCAAGACGGAAAGACCCCGUGAACCUUUACUAUAGCUUGACACUGAACAUUGAGCCUUGAUGUGUAGGAUAGGUGGGAGGCUUUGAAGUGUGGACGCCAGUCUGCAUGGAGCCGACCUUGAAAUACCACCCUUUAAUGUUUGAUGUUCUAACGUGGACCCGUAAUCCGGGUUGCGGACAGUGUCUGGUGGGUAGUUUGACUGGGGCGGUCUCCUCCUAAAGAGUAACGGAGGAGCACGAAGGUUGGCUAAUCCUGGUCGGACAUCAGGAGGUUAGUGCAAUGGCAUAAGCCAGCUUGACUGCGAGCGUGACGGCGCGAGCAGGUGCGAAAGCAGGUCAUAGUGAUCCGGUGGUUCUGAAUGGAAGGGCCAUCGCUCAACGGAUAAAAGGUACUCCGGGGAUAACAGGCUGAUACCGCCCAAGAGUUCAUAUCGACGGCGGUGUUUGGCACCUCGAUGUCGGCUCAUCACAUCCUGGGGCUGAAGUAGGUCCCAAGGGUAUGGCUGUUCGCCAUUUAAAGUGGUACGCGAGCUGGGUUUAGAACGUCGUGAGACAGUUCGGUCCCUAUCUGCCGUGGGCGCUGGAGAACUGAGGGGGGCUGCUCCUAGUACGAGAGGACCGGAGUGGACGCAUCACUGGUGUUCGGGUUGUCAUGCCAAUGGCACUGCCCGGUAGCUAAAUGCGGAAGAGAUAAGUGCUGAAAGCAUCUAAGCACGAAACUUGCCCCGA